UUUCAUCAUCAAAAUAGGAGAUUCAACAGGUACUUGGAGAUUGCCUCUGCAUGCUCCACCUCCUCGGCCCCUUUCACGACCAAGCGCUCUCCCUCCAUGAGAGCAAGGGAUCAAUGACUUUCACAGAAGUCCCACCUCUACAGUACCAUGGCAUUGCCAUGCCCAUGGCCCUACUAUCCGUCGCCUCGCAUCUGUAUCCCUUUUCUUCAUGAUCAGUAGAU
rnacentral:lncRNA from 1 species